UUAUCUCUGUAGAGUCUGCAUAUCAAUAAGCGGAGGAAAAGAAACUAACAAGGAUUCCCCUAGUAACGGCGAGUGAAGCGGGAAGAGCUCAAAUUUGAAAUCUUCAAGGUUUGACCUUGACGAAUUGUAGUUUAAAGAAGUGUUUUCGGUUAGAGGAGUAGUAAAAGUUCUUUGGAAUAGGACAUCAUAGAGGGUGAGAAUCCCGUAUUUGACUAUUCUUUCUAGCUUUGUGAUACACUUUCAAAGAGUCGGAUUGUUUGGGAAUGCAGUCCAAAAUGGGUGGUAAAUUUCAUCUAAAGCUAAAUAUUGGCGAGAGACCGAUAGCGAACAAGUACCGUGAGGGAAAGAUGAAAAGAACUUUGAAAAGAGAGUUAAACAGUACGUGAAAUUGUCAAAAGGGAAGCGUUUGACACCAGUGUUGUUUUUCCGAAAAUCAAUUAAAAAUUGAUUCAUGCCAGGUUGUAUUGACCUUAUCAGCUUGCAAUUUGGUUUUGGGUCUCUUUUUGAUGCACUUUUCGGUUAACAAGUCAACAUCAAUCUCCUUUGCUGUAAAAAGGUAAGAGGAAGGUGGCUUCAAUUUCGGUUGAAGUGUUUAUAGCCUUUUAUCUCUGCAGUCGGGGAGAUUGAGGUCUGCAGCGUAGAUCCUUCGGGGCUAGAUACAUUUAUGCUAAGUUAUAGCCUUUCAUAGACAACUUGUUGACUAUGUUUAGUCAUGUAGCUUACUCGUAAGUGCUAUUUUACCUACGCUUAGGAUGUUGAGCGCAUGUCUCUCUCU
rnacentral:rRNA from 1 species